rnacentral:rRNA from 1 species
AGGAAUAUUGGUCAAUGGGCGCAGGCCUGAACCAGCCAAGUAGCGUGAAGGAUGACUGCCCUAUGGGUUGUAAACUUCUUUUAUAAAGGAAUAAAGUCGGGUAUGUAUACCCGUUUGCAUGUACUUUAUGAAUAAGGAUCGGCUAACUCCGUGCCAGCAGCCGCGGUAAUACGGAGGAUCCGAGCGUUAUCCGGAUUUAUUGGGUUUAAAGGGAGCGUAGAUGGAUGUUUAAGUCAGUUGUGAAAGUUUGCGGCUCAACCGUAAAAUUGCAGUUGAUACUGGAUAUCUUGAGUGCAGUUGAGGCAGGCGGAAUUCGUGGUGUAGCGGUGAAAUGCUUAGAUAUCACGAAGAACUCCGAUUGCGAAGGCAGCCUGCUAAGCUGCAACUGACAUUGAGGCUCGAAAGUGUGGGUAUCAAACAGGAUUAGAUACCCUGGUAGUCCACACGGUAAACGAUGAAUACUCGCUGUUUGCGAUAUACUGCAAGCGGCCAAGCGAAAGCGUUAAGUAUUCCACCUGGGGAGUACGCCGGCAACGGUGAAACUCAAAGGAAUUGACGGGGGCCCGCACAAGCGGAGGAACAUGUGGUUUAAUUCGAUGAUACGCGAGGAACCUUACCCGGGCUUAAAUUGCAGAUGAAUUACGGUGAAAGCCGUAAGCCGCAAGGCAUCUGUGAAGGUGCUGCAUGGUUGUCGUCAGCUCGUGCCGUGAGGUGUCGGCUUAAGUGCCAUAACGAGCGCAACCCUUGUUGUCAGUUACUAACAGGUUCCGCUGAGGACUCUGACAAGACUGCCAUCGUAAGAUGUGAGGAAGGUGGGGAUGACGUCAAAUCAGCACGGCCCUUACGUCCGGGGCUACACACGUGUUACAAUGGGGGGUACAGAGGGCCGCUACCACGCGAGUGGAUGCCAAUCCCCAAAACCUCUCUCAGUUCGGACUGGAGUCUGCAACCCGACUCCACGAAGCUGGAUUCGCUAGUAAUCGCGCAUCAGCCACGGCGCGGUGAAUACGUUUCCG